GAUGAACGCUGGCGGCGUGCCUAAUACAUGCAAGUCGAGCGAACAGAUGAGGAGCUUGCUCCUCUGACGUUGGCGGCGGACGGGUGAGUAACACGUGGAUAACCUACCUAUAAGACUGGGAUAACUUCGGGAAACCGGAGCUAAUACCGGAUAAUAUAUUGAACCGCAUGGUUCAAUAGUGAAAGACGGUUUUGCUGUCACUUAUAGAUGGAUCCGCGCCGCAUUAGCUAGUUGGUAAGGUAACGGCUUACCAAGGCAACGAUGCGUAGCCGACCUGAGAGGGUGAUCGGCCACACUGGAACUGAGACACGGUCCAGACUCCUACGGGAGGCAGCAGUAGGGAAUCUUCCGCAAAGGGCGAAAGCCUGACGGAGCAACGCCGCGUGAGUGAUGAAGGUCUUCGGAUCGUAAAACUCUGUUAUUAGGGAAGAACAAAUGUGUAAGUAACUAUGCACGUCUUGACGGUACCUAAUCAGAAAGCCACGGCUAACUACGUG
rnacentral:rRNA from 1 species